CGCGGAGUGGAGCAGUUUGGCAGCUCGUCGGGCUCAUAACCCGAAGGUCACAGGUUCAAGUCCUGUCUCCGCAACCA
rnacentral:tRNA from 6 species